AGUCGAACGAAGUAGCAAUACUUAGUGGCAGACGGGUGAGUAACAUGUAGGUAUCUGCCCUUUGGCCUGGAAUAACACGAGGAAACUUGUGCUAAUACCGGAUAAGUCUUUACGGAGAAAGCUUUAUGCACCAUAGGAUGAGCCUGCACUUGAUUAGUUUGUUGGUGGGGUAAUGGCCUACCAAGACUGUGAUCAAUGGCUGAUUUGAGAGGAUGAUCAGCCACAUUGGGACUGAGACACGGCCCAAACUCCUACGGGAGGCAGCAGUGGGGAAUCUUGCACAAUGGAGGAAACUCUGAUGCAGCGAUGCCGCGUGAGUGAAGAAGGCCCUUGGGUUGUAAAGCUCUUUCGUCGGGGAAGAAAAUGACUGUACCCGAAUAAGAAGGUCCGGCUAACUUCGUGCCAGCAGCCGCGGUAAUACGAAGGGACCUAGCGUAGUUCGGAAUUACUGGGCUUAAAGAGUUCGUAGGUGGUUGAAAAAGUUAGUGGUGAAAUCCCAGAGCUUAACUCUGGAACUGCCAUUAAAACUUUUCAGCUAGAGUAUGAUAGAGGAAAGCAGAAUUUCUAGUGUAGAGGUGAAAUUCGUAGAUAUUAGAAAGAAUACCAAUUGCGAAGGCAGCUUUCUGGAUCAUUACUGACACUGAAGAACGAAAGCAUGGGUAGCGAAGAGGAUUAGAUACCCUCGUAGUCCAUGCCGUAAACGAUGUGUGAUAGACGUUGGAAAUUUAUUUUCAGUGUCGCAGGGAAACCGAUAAACACACCGCCUGGGGAGUACGACCGCAAGGUUAAACUCAAAUGAAUUGACGGGA
rnacentral:rRNA from 1 species